rnacentral:rRNA from 1 species
GACGAACGCUGGCGGCGUGCCUAAUACAUGCAAGUCGAGCGCUGAAGGUUGGUACUUGUACCAACUGGAUGAGCAGCGAACGGGUGAGUAACGCGUGGGGAAUCUGCCUUUGAGCGGGGGACAACAUCUGGAAACGAAUGCUAAUACCGCAUAAAAACUUUAAACACAAGUUUUAAGUUUGAAAGAUGCAAUUGCAUCACUCAAAGAUGAUCCCGCGUUGUAUUAGCUAGUUGGUGAGGUAAAGGCUCACCCAGGCGAAGAUACAUAGCCGACCUGGGAGGGGGGUCGGCCAAAUCGGGACUGAGAAACGGCCCAAACUCCUACGGGGGGCAGCAGUAGGGAAACUUCGGCAAAGGACGAAAGGCUGACCGAGCAACGCCGGGGGAGGGAAGGAGGGUCUCGGGUCGUAAAACUCUGUUGGUAGGGAAGAACGUUGGUGGGAAUGGAAAGCUCAUGAAGUGACGGUAACUACCCAGAAAGGGACGGCUAACUACGUG